UACGGAGGUGGCGAGCGUUGUUCGGAAUUACUGGGCGUAAAGGGCGCGUAGGCGGCUUUGCAAGUCAGAUGUGAAAGCCCCGGGCUUAACUCGGGAACUGCAUCUGAAACUGCUUAGCUUGAGUCCUGGAGGGGGUAGUGGAAUUCCCAGUGUAGCGGUGAAAUGCGUAGAUAUUGGGAGGAACACCUGCGGCGAAGGCGGCUACCUGGACAGUGACUGACGCUGAGGCGCGAAAGCUAGGGGAGCGAACGGG
rnacentral:rRNA from 1 species